rnacentral:lncRNA from 1 species
GAACGUGACUCUGAAAAGCCAAAAUUCUGAAUGAAUUAUACAUCUAUGUUCCUGGAAUAUGAUUUUUUUAAUUAUUAAAAGUAACUACAAAAACAUGUUAAUACUAAUGUUUGCACCCACCUAACCCAAAAUUUGACUGAAUUUUACAUAUAGGUUCUUCACUUCAUUUAAUUACAAGAACCUUAAGUAUCAACAUUGGGCAACCGCGCAAGGCAGUUGUUAUCGUAGAACUAAUAGUGUUGUAGGUACAUCAAUGCAACCACACCUUUGUCAAAUCUGUUCACCGCGGAGCAUCUGUGUCAGAACCUUUUUAGCCAUGUGAUGAAAGUAUGGCCAUGGAACUUCCAUGCGGUUGUUGUAAUAUCUGAAGGCAUAAUGCGAUCUAUACAUCCACCACUUUUGCAUAUUGACCAACCAAAUUUGCUGCAUUCAUCUCCUUCCUUGCUUUGGUCUGCAAAAUGACAAUAUUAAUAUGGCCCAUCGUAGCUAGAACGCAAGGAUUUUGUAGGCAACAGUGUUACUCCAGUGGGAGUAAUGUGAGACUGCGAGAACAAAAAAUAAAAAAUAAAGAAAAGAAAGAUCUGGCGACGAGGACAAGUGUAGGAACCAUAAACUAUGUAUUUCAUUAAUCAUCGGAAUUACAAAAUACAUAGUUCGCCUGAACUUGUCUUUCGCUAUCUUCUACGCCAUUGCUCGGAGAAGGUUCUGACUUGUAAAUUGUGUAGUUUGCUGAUUCCCGGGGCCUUAUGCGAGAGAGGCUCACCCGGUUAAUUACAUCUACAGAGUAAAAUCUGUAGAACACCUCCGAUUAAGCUGCGCAUAGUGGUCGUCGUGUCUCCAGGAUGAAUGCAAGGUGUAUGAUGUGAGUGGCUUUAGAAUUGCCAAAACUCAAUCAUGACUAUGCCAUUGUCACGUUGGUUGGUAAACGGGAUGCUGUUGAUGAAGAGGAUGACUUUCGCCUCGUCGGUGCUUAGUCACGUGUCCGCUGGUCUUUAUCAGCUCGAACGGAAGUGUUGCCUUCGCCUCGUCGGUGCCCAGCAACAAUGUGUUCGGUCUCGUUUACACAAGACGUGUCGUCGGAAUAAUAAUGAUAAGUUUCACCAAUAAUUUGGCCAUCACUUUAUCAAGUUUGGUCAAUAUUAGGUGUAGGUGGAUAGCUUCUUCAGCCCAUCAGAUGUCGCCCUUUUAGGUAGCGAUAGAAGAAAUUGUUAAAUCAAUCUGGUAUGCAACAUCGGAUGAUCAAAUCAAUUCAACCCGGCAUAAACAUCGGAUUUUAGAUUAAUCCGGAAUAACCAUCAGAUUAGUAGAUCAAUCCGGCAUAACCAUCAGAUUUUUAGACUAAUCUAGAACGCAAGCGCAACGUCAGAUUAUCAAAUUAAAUUAAUCCGGCAUAAACAUCCGGAAUAAAUCAUCGGAUCUUCCUGGAAGCAUUGCUUUGCAACGCAAGUCCUAGGGUGCUUCCAUAUCUGGAAUAAAUCAUCGGAUCUUCCUGGACGCAUUGCUUUGCAACGCAAGUCCUAGGGUGCUUCGACAUCUGGAAUAAAUCAUCGGAUCUUCCCGAACACGUUGCUUUGCAACGCAAGUCCGAGGGGCUUCGACAUCAGGAAUAAAUCAUCGGAUCUUCCUAGACGCGUUGCUUUGCAACGCAAGUCCGACGGGCUUCGACGUCCGGAAUAAAUCAUCGGAUCUUCCUGGACGCGUUGCUUUGCAACGCAAGUCCGAGGGGCUUCAACAUCCGGAAUAAAUCAUCGGAUCUUCCUGGACGCGUUGCUUUACAACGCAAGUCUGAGGGGCUUCGACAUCCGGAAUAAAUCAUCGGAUCUUCCUGGACGCGUUGCUUUGCAACGCAAAUCCUAGGGCGCUUCGACAUCCGGAAUAAAUCAUCGGAUCUUCCUGGACGCGUUGUUUUACAACGCAAGUCCUAGGGUGCUUCGACAGGCUAGACACUGUAGGGCAGAUAAUAAGUAAAUAAUAGAUUAAACAUUAAUCUCACCAUUGAAUACGAAUGCCAUCUGGUGGAUUGGAUGCUGGCUGUUGCACGUGCUGCUAAUGAUCUGCUGCGUGAGGCUGGCGUGCGACGUUGGCGACUGGGAAUUGUUCCUGGUGGCGGCUGGCUCCGAUCUCCUCCCUGGUGCUCCCUCUGGCGCUGUCGGCGUGGACUGGCCAUGCGUGGUGGCUAGGCGGUCCUCUGGUGGCUGUUGCGCGUUCGUCCGUCCCCC